GAUGCUCUUCUCGGGAUAGCUCCCUUAGUCAUGAUGGUGGCCGCACUGGUGGAGGUCGCUGACGUCCUGUCGCCCGUCCAUUUCUUGCCAGACCGGGGAUCAGAUUGGAGAGGGGAAUACAUAGAUGAGGUGCGGAAGGCUGCACCGGCUCGGUUCUUUCCAGAUCCGGGGGCGGACUAACAACGACGAAUUUCGUGGAGCUCCGGUGACAUGGCGAUGGGAGGCGGCGAUGCUCCUCCUAGGCGCUAGUUGGGGGGAGGGGGAGAUUAGGAAGACAAUGCUGACAAGCGGGCCCCACAUCCUACAAGAUGGUUCAGCAUAACAGUGUGAGAUAUUGAUGUCACAUCAGCCUGACUAAUGGGCCUCAUAUGUCAUAAACACGUUUAACGAGCCAAUUCCGUAGAUCAAAAAGAUUACGGAAGACAUGAUGUUUUCUACAAAGAAAAUGUAUUGUAAUGUUUAUCGCAAAUCGAAUCUCUAAAAUGAUGGUUUUCUG
rnacentral:lncRNA from 1 species